UGGUCCUGCCUGCCCAGUGACCACGUCGUUCAACGGCCGCGGUAUUUUAACCGCGCUAAGGUAGCGUAAUCACUUGUCUCUUAAAUGGAGACCUGUAUGAAUGGCAUCACGAGGGUUUAACUGUCUCCUUCCCCCAGUCAAUGAAAUUGAUCUACCCGUGCAGAAGCGGGUAUAUUACCAUAAGACGAGAAGACCCUAUGGAGCUUUAGGUAAGAGAUCAAACAUGUAAAUAAGACAAUAUUACCCAAGGACACCAAAUGUGCCUUAAAUUUAAUGUAAACAUGAUCUUAACCCCUUCGGUUGGGGCGACCACGGAGGAAAAAGAAGCCUCCACAUGGAAUGAGUUUAUCCUCCAAACCCAGGGCCACAACCCUAAGCAACAGAACAUCUGACCAUAAAUGAUCCGGGACACACUUACACACCCGAUCAAUGAACCAAGUUACCCUAGGGAUAACAGCGCAAUCCUUUCCCAGAGCCCAUAUCGACGAAAGGGUUUACGACCUCGAUGUUGGAUCAGGACAUCCUAAUGGUGAAGCCGCUAUUAAGGGCUCGUUUGUUCAACGAUUAAUAGUCCUACGUGAUCU
rnacentral:rRNA from 1 species